UCCGCUUUACAGCGGCAGUCUCGCUAGAGUCCUCGACAUUACUCGUUAGCAACUAGCGACAGGGGUUGCGCUCGUUAAUGGACUUAACCAAACACUUCACAGCACGAGCUGACGACAGCCAUGCAGCACCUGUGCACGUUGUACCCUUGCGGGCCUUAUUCCUGUUUCCAGGAACUAAUCCGUGCAUGUCAAACCCAGGUAAGGUUCUUCGCGUUGCUUCGAAUUAAGCAACAUGCUCCACCGCUUGUGACAAAUCGGAGGAAGGUGGGGAUGACGUAGUACACCUGAAC
rnacentral:misc_RNA from 1 species